rnacentral:tRNA from 1 species
GCGGUAAUAGCUCAGUUGGUAGAGUGGAAGCUUCCCAAGCUUCAGGUCGCGAGUUCGAGCCUCGUUUACCGCU